UACGGAGGGGGUUAGCGUUGUUCGGAAUUACUGGGCGUAAAGCGCACGUAGGCGGACCAGAAAGUUAGGGGUGAAAUCCCGGGGCGCAACCUCGGAACUGCCUCUAAAACUCCUGGUCUUGAGUUCGAGAGAGGUGAGUGGAAUUCCGAGUGUAGAGGUGAAAUUCGUAGAUAUUCGGAGGAACACCAGUGGCGAAGGCGGCUCACUGGCUCGAUACUGACGCUGAGGUGCGAAAGCGUGGGGAGCAAACAGG
rnacentral:rRNA from 1 species